AGUCUUCCACUAGCAGCCUUUGGAUGAAGAUGUAGAACUCUCAGCUCCUCCUGCACCAUGACAGCCUGGAUGCUGCCAUGCUCCCACCUUGAUGGUAAUGGCCUGAACCUCUGAACCUGACUGGUUGUUCUAUUUCUGAGAUCUCUGAGACCCAGCCCACCAGGAACACACAAAUGUGGAACCGAGAUAGGCUGAGGACUUAUUAAACAGAAUUCUGCUGUUCCUAUCCCAGGGUUGGACCAAUGUGUAGAAAAUUGCUUAUGGGAUUCUUUGAAUGACUUUUUCAUUGCGGGAAAUAUUAAAAAUGAACCUGCCAACCUUCCACACUCCUGCUUCUUUCAAGCCACCAACUCAAGAGAUCUGUCUCUGCCUCCUACGUGCUGGA
rnacentral:lncRNA from 1 species